UGAUUUUCUUUUUUUCUUUUAUCAAUUAUUGGCUUGGUUUUUAUAGUGACAGUGAAGAAUUUUGUUUUCUUUCUGAAAGUAAUCAUGGUAGGUAAGGAUAAUUGGGAUGCUGAAAAAAUGCUGGAUCUUUACUUGCACGAUUACUUGGUGAAGAAGAAUAUGCACGAGACGGCUGAACUCUUUAGACAGGAGACCGGUAUUCCUCACCGUUCUGUUGUGAUUGAUUCUCCCGAAGGACUCCUUCAAGAAUGGUGGUCGCUAUUUUAUGACAUAUAUUUCACUAGGCAAACAAAGCUUCAAGGGCAC